AUUUAUUGCCGACGCAAACUUUGCUUGUUGGGGCGGCUGCUUGAGUACUACGAGCGUGUGCUUAAAACUCAAAGAAUUUGGCGGCUCGUUAACUACCUAGGGGAAUAUGUGCCUUAAUCCGAUGAUACCCGUUAUAUCUUACUGCGCCUUGAAAACGAACAGUUGGUGUAUUGCCGUUGUCAGCUUGUUGUCCUAGCAAAAAGUAACAGGCUUAAUGGAACUAUUAAUGAGUUAAUAAGGUCCGUGAAUUCAGGUCGAAAUGCUGCCUAUGGUGCGAGGGAGUAGGUAUUACGAGUUUAAAUUUAAAAUACGGAUCUCAUUUUUCUGUGAAAUCUCUGAGAGAAGGUGGACUUAGGAGUAAGGGGGGAUUAACAUGCCCCCCUGAACGUGAAUCUAACUGG
rnacentral:rRNA from 1 species